CAAAUACUCCCUCCGUCCGGAAAUAAUUGUCAUCAAAAUGGAUAAAAGGAAAUGUAUCUAGACGUAUUUUAGUUUUAGAUACAUCUAUUUUUAUCCAUUUUGAUGACAAGUAUUUUCGGACAGAGGGAGUAGAAA
rnacentral:pre_miRNA from 1 species